rnacentral:tRNA from 1 species
GGUGGCUCAGUGGUAGAGCGCUUGCCUUACAUGUAUGAUGCCCUGGGUUCGAUUCCUCAGCACCA